CUUGACCGAACCCAGCCACAACGGCCGGCCCCCAUCCCGCUCCUGCCCAUACGUCGACAGCAGGGCCUGCGCCUC
rnacentral:antisense_RNA from 1 species